UCGCAGGUUCGAAUCCUGCACGACCCACCAAUUUAACAUCAAACUCAGAUGUUGAACGUGAAGGAUAACGUUGCGUCAGCAACGGCCCGUAGGGCGAGGCGAAGCCGAGUCAUCCUGCACGACCCACCA
rnacentral:sRNA from 5 species